rnacentral:rRNA from 1 species
GAUGAACGCUGGCGGCGUGCUUAACACAUGCAAGUCGAACGAACCUUCGGGUUAGUGGCGGACGGGUGAGUAACGCGUGGGAAUCUGCCCUCAGGAGGGGGAUAACGGUUGGAAACGACCGCUAAUACCCCAUAUGCCGAGAGGUGAAAUGAAUUUCGCCUGAGGAUGAGCCCGCGUCUGAUUAGCUUGUUGGUGAGGUAAUGGCUCACCAAGGCAUCGAUCAGUAGCUGGUCUGAGAGGAUGAUCAGCCACACUGGGACUGAGACACGGCCCAGACUCCUACGGGAGGCAGCAGUGGGGAAUUUUCCGCAAUGGGCGAAAGCCUGACGGAGCAACGCCGCGUGAGGGACGAAGGCCUCUGGGCUGUAAACCUCUUUUCUCAAGGAAGAAGAUAUGACGGUACUUGAGGAAUAAGCCACGGCUAAUUCCGUGCCAGCAGCCGCGGUAAUACGGGAGUGGCAGGCGUUAUCCGGAAUUAUUGGGCGUAAAGCGUCCGCAGGCGGCCCUUCAAGUCUGCUGUUAAAGCGUGGAGCUUAACUCCAUCAUGGCAGUGGAAACUGAUUGGCUUGAGUAUGGUAGGGGCAGAGGGAAUUCCCGGUGUAGCGGUGAAAUGCGUAGAUAUCGGGAAGAACACCAGUGGCGAAGGCGCUCUGCUGGGCCAUUACUGACGCUCAUGGACGAAAGCCAGGGGAGCGAAAGGGAUUAGAUACCCCUGUAGUCCUGGCCGUAAACGAUGAACACUAGGUGUCGGGGGAAUCGACCCCUUCGGUGUCGUAGCUAACGCGUUAAGUGUUCCGCCUGGGGAGUACGCACGCAAGUGUGAAACUCAAAGGAAUUGACGGGGGCCCGCACAAGCGGUGGAGUAUGUGGUUUAAUUCGAUGCAACGCGAAGAACCUUACCAGGGCUUGACAUCCUGCGAACCUUUAAGAAAUUAGAGGGUGCCUUCGGGAACGCAGUGACAGGUGGUGCAUGGCUGUCGUCAGCUCGUGUCGUGAGAUGUUGGGUUAAGUCCCGCAACGAGCGCAACCCACGUUUUUAGUUGCCAGCAUUUAGUUGGGCACUCUAGAAAGACCGCCGGUGAUAAACCGGAGGAAGGUGUGGAUGACGUCGAGUCAUCAUGCCCCUUACGUCCUGGGCUACACACGUACUACAAUGCUACGGACAAAGGGCAGCAAACUCGCGAGAGCUAGCAAAUCCCAUAAACCGUGGCUCAGUUCAGAUCGUAGGCUGCAACUCGCCUACGUGAAGUAGGAAUCGCUAGUAAUCGCAGGUCAGCAUACUGCGGUGA